UUUUGACAGAGAAUGAAAGACCCCCAGAGUGGGGAGACCCUCACUUGAGUCUCGGGAUAAGUCGACACCCCAAUAAUUCAAGAGAGACC
rnacentral:pre_miRNA from 11 species